ACUAAGCGUACACGGUGGAUGCCCUGGCAGUCAGAGGCGAUGAAGGACGUGCUAAUCUGCGAAAAGCGUCGGUAAGGUGAUAUGAACCGUUAUAACCGGCGAUGUCCGAAUGGGGAAACCCAGUGCAAUUCGUUGCACUAUCGUUAACUGAAUACAUAGGUUAACGAGGCGAACCGGGGGAACUGAAACAUCUAAGUACCCCGAGGAAAAGAAAUCAACCGAGAUUCCCCCAGUAGCGGCGAGCGAACGGGGAGCAGCCCAGAGUCUGAAUCAGCUUGUGUGUUAGUGGAACGGUCUGGAAAGUCCGACGGUACAGGGUGAUAGUCCCGUACACCAAAAUGCACAGGCUGUGAACUCGAAGAGUAGGGCGGGACACGUGGUAUCCUGUCUGAAUAUGGGGGGACCAUCCUCCAAGGCUAAAUACUCCUGACUGACCGAUAGUGAACCAGUACCGUGAGGGAAAGGCGAAAAGAACCCCGGCGAGGGGAGUGAAAAAGAACCUGAAACCGUGUACGUACAAGCAGUGGGAGCACCUUCGGGUGUGACUGCGUACCUUUUGUAUAAUGGGUCAGCGACUUAUAUUCUGUAGCAAGGUUAACCGUAUAGGGGAGCCGCAGGGAAACCGAGUCUUAACUGGGCGUUAAGUUGCAGGGUAUAGACCCGAAACCCGGUGAUCUAGCCAUGGGCAGGUUGAAGGUUGGGUAACACUAACUGGAGGACCGAACCGACUAAUGUUGAAAAAUUAGCGGAUGACUUGUGGCUGGGGGUGAAAGGCCAAUCAAACCGGGAGAUAGCUGGUUCUCCCCGAAAGCUAUUUAGGUAGCGCCUCGUGAAUUCAUCUUCGGGGGUAGAGCACUGUUUCGGCUAGGGGGUCAUCCCGACUUACCAACCCGAUGCAAACUACGAAUACCGAAGAAUGUUAUCACGGGAGACACACGGCGGGUGCUAACGUCCGUCGUGAAGAGGGAAACAACCCAGACCGCCAGCUAAGGUCCCAAAGUCAUGGUUAAGUGGGAAACGAUGUGGGAAGGCACAGACAGCCAGGAUGUUGGCUUAGAAGCAGCCAUCAUUUAAAGAAAGCGUAAUAGCUCACUGGUCGAGUCGGCCUGCGCGGAAGAUGUAACGGGGCUAAACCAUGCACCGAAGCUGCGGCAGCGACACUAUGUGUUGUUGGGUAGGGGAGCGUUCUGUAAGCCUGCGAAGGUGUGCUGUGAGGCAUGCUGGAGGUAUCAGAAGUGCGAAUGCUGACAUAAGUAACGAUAAAGCGGGUGAAAAGCCCGCUCGCCGGAAGACCAAGGGUUCCUGUCCAACGUUAAUCGGGGCAGGGUGAGUCGACCCCUAAGGCGAGGCCGAAAGGCGUAGUCGAUGGGAAACAGGUUAAUAUUCCUGUACUUGGUGUUACUGCGAAGGGGGGACGGAGAAGGCUAUGUUAGCCGGGCGACGGUUGUCCCGGUUUAAGCAUGUAGGCUGGUUAUCCAGGCAAAUCCGGAUAAUCAAGGCUGAGGUGUGAUGACGAGGUACUACGGUGCUGAAGUAACAAAUGCCCUGCUUCCAGGAAAAGCCUCUAAGCAUCAGGUAACAUCAAAUCGUACCCCAAACCGACACAGGUGGUCAGGUAGAGAAUACCAAGGCGCUUGAGAGAACUCGGGUGAAGGAACUAGGCAAAAUGGUGCCGUAACUUCGGGAGAAGGCACGCUGGUGUGUAGGUGAAGUCCCUGCGGAUGGAGCUGAGACCAGUCGAAGAUACCAGCUGGCUGCAACUGUUUAUUAAAAACACAGCACUGUGCAAACACGAAAGUGGACGUAUACGGUGUGACGCCUGCCCGGUGCCGGAAGGUUAAUUGAUGGGGUUAUCCGUAAGGAGAAGCUCUUGAUCGAAGCCCCGGUAAACGGCGGCCGUAACUAUAACGGUCCUAAGGUAGCGAAAUUCCUUGUCGGGUAAGUUCCGACCUGCACGAAUGGCGUAAUGAUGGCCAGGCUGUCUCCACCCGAGACUCAGUGAAAUUGAACUCGCUGUGAAGAUGCAGUGUACCCGCGGCAAGACGGAAAGACCCCGUGAACCUUUACUAUAGCUUGACACUGAACAUUGAGCCUUGAUGUGUAGGAUAGGUGGGAGGCUUUGAAGCGUGGACGCCAGUCUGCGUGGAGCCAACCUUGAAAUACCACCCUUUAAUGUUUGAUGUUCUAACGUUGGCCCCUGACCGGGGUUGCGGACAGUGUCUGGUGGGUAGUUUGACUGGGGCGGUCUCCUCCCAAAGCGUAACGGAGGAGCACGAAGGUUAGCUAAUCCUGGUCGGACAUCAGGAGGUUAGUGCAAUGGCAUAAGCUAGCUUGACUGCGAGCGUGACGGCGCGAGCAGGUGCGAAAGCAGGUCAUAGUGAUCCGGUGGUUCUGAAUGGAAGGGCCAUCGCUCAACGGAUAAAAGGUACUCCGGGGAUAACAGGCUGAUACCGCCCAAGAGUUCAUAUCGACGGCGGUGUUUGGCACCUCGAUGUCGGCUCAUCACAUCCUGGGGCUGAAGUAGGUCCCAAGGGUAUGGCUGUUCGCCAUUUAAAGUGGUACGCGAGCUGGGUUUAGAACGUCGUGAGACAGUUCGGUCCCUAUCUGCCGUGGGCGCUGGAGAAUUGAGGGGGGCUGCUCCUAGUACGAGAGGACCGGAGUGGACGCAUCACUGGUGUUCGGGUUGUCAUGCCAAUGGCACUGCCCGGUAGCUAAAUGCGGAAGAGAUAAGUGCUGAAAGCAUCUAAGCACGAAACUUGCCCCGAGAUGAGUUCUCCCUGAGACUUUAAGUCUCCUGAAGGAACGUUAAAGACGAUGACGUUGAUAGGCCGGGUGUGUAAGCGCAGCGAUGCGUUGAGCUAACCGGUACUAAUGAACCGUGAGGCUUAACC
rnacentral:rRNA from 1 species